rnacentral:rRNA from 1 species
GACGAACGCUGGCGGCGUGCUUAACACAUGCAAGUCGAACGGAAAGGCCCUGCUUUUGUGGGGUGCUCGAGUGGCGAACGGGUGAGUAACACGUGAGUAACCUGCCCUUGACUUUGGGAUAACUUCAGGAAACUGGGGCUAAUACCGGAUAGGAGCUCCUGCUGCAUGGUGGGGGUUGGAAAGUUUCGGCGGUUGGGGAUGGACUCGCGGCUUAUCCGCUUGUUGGUGGGGUAGUGGCUUACCAAGGCUUUGACGGGUAGCCGGCCUGAGAGGGUGACCGGCCACAUUGGGACUGAGGUACGGCCCAGACUCCUACGGGAGGCAGCAGUGGGAAAUAUUGCACAGUGGGCGGAAGCCUGAGACAACAACGCCGCGUGCGGGAUGACGGCCUUCGGGUUGUAAACCGCUUUCGCCUGUGACGAAGCGUGAGUGACGGUAAUGGGUAAAGAAGCACCGGCUAACUACGUG